UUCGCUUUGUUAGAAACUUUUUGAAAGUUGCGAAAAAGAGACGAAGUUUGAAGAUGAAUAAAGAAAAGUGAACGAUGACUUUUUUCAAAAACGUACGUACGUUAGUGUACGAAUAACAUUACAAAAAUGUGAUCGUCAUGUGUGUCAACUCUGGUGUCGCAGUCCUGCAUGCUCUCCAACAGUCCAACUCUCUAUGCUGUUUGGCGGAUUUGUGGCCUGAUGUCAUCGUAACAACAAAUUAUGCAACUUGUGCUUGUGCUGCUGGUAUGGACCUGUCAUCGGCAACAAUCUCACCAUCAUCACUUGGGUAAACAGCAUCAUCCAGUUUGAAUGGGGAAACUCUGUUCUCGUGUAUGCCCAUGUGAGUGUGGGUGUAUUCACGAGGACAUCCUUUUUCCGUCCUUCAACUUUUCUGCGGAUGACGCACUUGUGGAUGUGGAUGCCUGGCCGUUUUUCCCAGGCUUAAAGAGAGUAAAUGUUGCCACGGAUGAUUUAUCGUCGACGGCCUGCGCUGACGACUCCCUUGUGUGGCACAACCAGACAGCAGACAGACAACUCUGGCCCGCCGAGCCCCCCCAAAAAAAGAAAACGAGAAGAAGACGGACAAGGCCGGGCAGAAUGACAGACAGUUGGUCCGCAUUUAUUCGGCUGGCCCAUUUUUGUUGGUAACUUGGGGAUGAUGAUGUAAAAGGAGCAAUAAAGGGAAACCAAAAAACCCAUGCCAUCGCGACGCAACGAUUCCAUUCGCGGUGGUUUGCCGUUGGCUCUCAUCCACAAGUGCCAGCUAGCAGCUACGAGUGGUGCUGUAGUCGAUUUCCUAUGAAAUGCACUUAAUGCUCCUUAUCUUUCGCCUUAUUUUGACACGGAGAUCUUAUACACGCCCUCCUUUACUAUCAUCAGAUACAUAUGACGUCUUGUAGCUUGGCUCCUCCUCCAAGUUGAAUUGUUAUCUUACCCUCCAGUUACUCCCCUCGUUCUGUUAAUGUUUAUGUUGUGUCAUAUUGUACAUUGACACUUGUGCCGAUUCUCUCGUAUGUCUCUGCAUACCAGUGGGUAUUGUUCGACAAAUUCCAUUUGCCACAGCGAAUACGUAGGCGUCGCUGGUAUCGUCUGCUGCGAUGAGUACGAGUGCUAAAACCUGGGCGCUAUAAAUCAUUCACUCGAUACUCCUACAGAUUGUAAAUAGGCCAAACACAUCCAGUUGAGGAGCUUUUUACGAAGGAUUUUAUAAGGUCGUCGAACACGAAUUCAGAGCGGGAAUGCAUAUAGAGAUCUUUGAGCGACUAUAGUAGAUAUUGAAUAAAUGAAUCGAGCUCGCGCGUGGACGUGUCUUCUUUUGAGGACGAAACGUGUAAUGGAGAUGGAUCUAUCGGCAAAAAGAAAAGUGUGGGAAGUAUUUAUAAACGACACGCGGAGAAACGACAAGUGACGGGAAAAUGGAGGCUAUGCACCAGCGCCAGGGGGAAAUUGGAAAAUCUCGUCUUCCGUAACACACAGACACCAAAAUCGUGUCACCCCAUUUUCUGAUGCAUAUUUUCUGUUGAUAUUUUGUCGUCGUUUCUUUUCUGAUUUACCCCCCACGACUUCCUCCUCCCCACCUAUCCGCCCGUCGCACAUAGUCGUUCACCCGUUCUCUCAUUUCAUUAGCUUUGAUUGAAUCCUUCCCCUUUUUUUCGGUCACGCCUCUUGUAUCCAUCACGAUGGUGCGGAUGGAACCAGGGUCAGUCAGAGAGGUUAGAGAAGAGUCGUGAACGGCAGAAAUUGGAAGGGUGGAAGAUUUCUGCUGGGGUUUUGAAUGUCUGUGCCGCCGUUGGAGUAAAUCGACUUUCUUAUAUAGACAGUCCAUAAUAUCCAAUAAGAAUUCCUAUCCGAUUCGACGCCAGGUUCGUCUAUCCGUGUCGCAUGAUGCCCAGCAAAGUUCCCCCGCGGUUUUCUUUUCUCUUAUAAACUUUCUCGGUUCUGGACGACCCAACUUUGUUCAUUCGUCAUGCGUGACGGCGUCCCAUCUCCGUGAUGUCUUUGACGACGCAAUCAAAAGGCAUCGCGCAGUAAUGAUCAUCAAGGGCCAGCUCAUAUAUAUAUAGAACGCGGCGAAUUCGCUUGGAUAUCAAAUCGAUUUCCCCCUUUUUUUUUUCUUCUCCCGCUCGUUUCGCAGGAAAAACGCGCAGAUGUAAUAAUUUGAAACUUGUAUAGUGUACAUUUUGAUCACAUCACUCCCGAAAUCCACUAUAGAUUUUCUUCUUUUUUUCUAGCUAGACGCGAAAAAAAAAAAGAAACUUGGCUCUUCUCCGCUCUGUCUAAAUCUAUAGAGAAAUUCGGUCACACUCACUUCCAUCAGUCUCUACUAUAUAUAUAAGAGUGUUUACCGAAACCUAAUAGAAAAUGUGUGCUGGUUUCCCGUUGGCCUGUUCUUCCUUCUUUCUUUUCAUCUUCGUUUUUUUUUUUUCGUUCGUUCGUUCGUCCCCAAUUUUUUUCUGUUUCUUUAUUUGAUUUCCUCUUCAAUCUCUUUCUCACAUUCUCAUCUCCAGCUUCGGCUUCGACAUCAUCAGCAAUCGCCUAUAUAGAUGCGACGGUGUUUGUGUGUGUUCUUCUUCUUCUUCUUCUUUUUCCUUGAAGUGUUAUUGUAUGAAAUGAACGUGCCGCCAAGUCAAUAAAGGCGAUAUAUACCCGUAUAGCUCGUCUACACUCUCGCCCCUGCAGAAAAUAUAUCCUUCCUUCCUCCAAAAGUCCAAAGCCCACGGCAAAUGCGUUCCCUAUCGGCCUCAUUUUGAUGGUUUCUAUAGUCAGGCAAA